GUACACUCCUACGGGAGGCAGCAGUGGGGAAUAUUGGACAAUGGGCGCAAGCCUGAUCCAGCCAUGCCGCGUGAGUGAUGAAGGCCCUAGGGUUGUAAAGCUCUUUCACCGGAGAAGAUAAUGACGGUAUCCGGAGAAGAAGCCCCGGCUAACUUCGUGCCAGCAGCCGCGGUAAUACGAAGGGGGCUAGCGUUGUUCGGAAUUACUGGGCGUAAAGCGCACGUAGGCGGAUCGAUCAGUCAGGGGUGAAAUCCCAGGGCUCAACCCUGGAACUGCCUUUGAUACUGUCGAUCUGGAGUAUGGAAGAGGUGAGUGGAAUUCCGAGUGUAGAGGUGAAAUUCGUAGAUAUUCGGAGGAACACCAGUGGCGAAGGCGGCUCACUGGUCCAUUACUGACGCUGAGGUGCGAAAGCGUGGGGAGCAAACAGGAUUAGAAACCCUAGUAGUCCC
rnacentral:rRNA from 1 species